rnacentral:rRNA from 1 species
UAGUCGUGCGCUUCCUAGCCACGAAGGGAGCGCGGCNNNNNGCUCAGUAGCACGUGGCUAACCUGCCCUUGGGACGGGAACAACCCCGGGAAACUGGGGCUAAUUCCUGAUAGGUGAAGAACUCUGGAAUGAGUCUUUGCCGAAAGGGCGUUUACAUCAUGCUCGUAGGCGCUGCCCAAGGAUGGGGCCGCGGCCGAUCAGGUUGUUGGUGAGGUAACGGCUCACCAAGCCUAUAACCGGUGCGGGCCGUGAGAGCGGGAGCCCGGAGAUGGGCACUGAGACAAGGGCCCAGGCCCUACGGGGCGCAGCAGUCGCGAAACCUUUGCAAUACACGAAAGUGUGACAGGGCUAUCCCGAGUGCCGUCCGCUGAGGAUGGCUUUUACCCAGUAUAGCAAGCUGGGGGAAUAAGGAGAGGGCAAGUCUGGUGUCAGCCGCCGCGGUAAUACCAGCUCUCCGAGUGGUGGGGACGUUUAUUGGGCCUAAAGCAUCCGUAGCUGGCCGUUCAAGUCCCCUGUUAAACCCAGCGAUUUAAUCGUUGGUCUGCGGAGGAUACUGUUCGGCUAGGGGGCGGGAGAGGCAGACGGUAUUUCCGGGGUAGGGGUGAAAUCCUAUAAUCCCGGGAAGACCACCAGUGGCGAAGGCUGUCUGCUAGAACGCGCCNGACGGUGAGGGAUGAAAGCUGGGG